CCAGUCUUGUUCGGUCUUUGUUUGGGCUAGUGUGCACCUAACCACAUGGAGCCUAUGGUUUUGGUCAUUCCUAUCAGUGGGCUCAUUUUGGUAUUCAGUUUGAACAAACUCUAACCCGGUCUUUUCGUCUCCAAAGUCAUCUACAAAAUCUUCGAUGUUUGGUUCAUAGACUUCUUCGACACAUUCAGUAUCCUGGGUUCCUGCUUCCAGUUCAGUCAUUAAAUAGGUCUUGGCAUUACAUUGAGAUGCAAUAUGGCCAAACUUUUGGCACCUGAAAUACUGGGUUUGGUUUCUUAAGGGCGGGUUGGACCCUAAUAUGCCUUUUCCUUUAUCAGUUGAUGUACUUUGAGCAGGCACCGGGAACGUCCUAGUUGGUGUUUGGCUAGAACCGGGCUGGAAAGGAUGGUUGGAGAGUGGUCUGGGUUGUGGGAGAUAGCUUUGAUUAGGUCGGGCUCCUCAGGGUAGGAACCGAGAGUCGGUACGUCUCACUACAGGGACUCGUAAAAAACUAUCCACAUCUUGAGCCAAUUGGUAUGCCUGGCCAAGGGUAGUAAUCUCUCGGAGGAUCAAUUCUCUCUGGAUCUCCUCGCGGAGUCCUGCCCGAAAUCUAGAAAGAGUAACAGUCUCCUCUUCGAUUACAUUGCACCUCAUGUGAAACUCCUCAAAUCGUGCAAUGUAAUCGGCAACAGUUGAAGUUCCUUGAGUUAGUUUCUGCCACCUAUCCAUAAGGCGUUGUCGGUAAGAGAAUGGCAGAUACUUCUCAUUCAGUUUUUCUUUCAUAUCCUCCCAAGUGGUGAUGCGUGGAAGCCUCUGGGUCUCACGCCGAUGUUCAACGUUAUGCCAGUACCAGUGAGCUUGCC
rnacentral:lncRNA from 1 species